AUGCGAUGGCACAGUGAGGACCGUAAGAAAGACGGGAAGUUGAGAGCACCCGCUGAUGGGUCGCAGUGGAGAAAAAUCGAGAGAAAGUACUGGCAUGAGUUUGCAAGUGACCCAAGGAACGUAUGGUUUGGUUUAAGCGCAGAUGGCAUUAAUCCUUUCGAGGAGCAGAGCAGCAAUCACAUCACCUGGCCCGUGACUCUAUGUAUGUAUAACCUUCCUCCUUGGAUGUGCAUGAAGCGGAAGUUCAUUAUGAUGCCAAUUCUCAUCCAAGGCCCUAAGCAACCCGGCAACGACAUUGAUGUGUUCCUAAGGCCAUUAGUUGAAGAAUUUUUGUAG
rnacentral:rRNA from 1 species